rnacentral:rRNA from 1 species
AGAGUUUGAUCAUGGCUCAGGACGAACGCUGGCGGCGUGCUUAAUGAAUGCAAGUCGAACGAGAUUCGAUCUGCGUCUUCGGACAAGGAUUGUUGAGAGUGGCGAACGGGUGAGUAACACGUGGGCAACCUGCCUCCAAGACGGGCAUAACAGAGGGAAACUUCUGCUAAUUCCCGAUAUACUGGUACCACACAAGUGAGUAUCAGGAAAGCUUUUGCGCUUGGAGAUGGGCCCGCGGCCGAUUAGCUUGUUGGUGGGGUAACGGCCCACCAAGGCGACGAUCGGUAGCCGACCUGAGAGGGUGACCGGCCACACUGGGACUGAGACAUGGUCCAGACUCCUACGGGAGUUAGCAUCAGGGAAUCUUGCGCAAUGGGCGAAAGCCUGACGCAGCGACGCCGCGUGUGGGAUGAAGGUCUGCGGAUCGUAAACCACUGUCAGGCGGGAAGAAUUAAUGACUGUACCGCCAGAGGAAGCCCCGGCUAACUACGUGCCAGCAGCCGCGGUAACACGUAGGGGGCCAGCGUUGUCCGGAAUUACUGGGCGUAAAGAGCGCGUAGGCUGUUUGGUAAGCGGAGGGUGAAAUUCCGGGGCUCAACCCCGGAGCUGCUCUCCGAACUGCCAGACUAGAGUUUGGGAGAGGGUAGUGGAAUUCCUGGUGUAGCGGUGGAAUGCGUAAAUAUCAGGAAGAACACCUGUGGCGAAGGCUGCUACCUGGAACAAUACUGACGCUGAGGCGCGAAAGCUAGGGGAGCGAACGGGAUUAGAUACCCCGGUAGUCCUAGCCGUAAACGAUGGACACUAGGUGUUGGGAGCAUCGACCCUCCCAGUGCUGUUCUGCUAACGCGUUAAGUGUCCCGCCUGGGGAGUACGGCCGCAAGGUUGAAACUC